rnacentral:lncRNA from 1 species
UUGUGCUUUUAAUUCCUGUGCUAGUAAGGUAGAGGCUAGUGGAAACCUGGAGCUUGCUGGCCGCUAGCCAAUUCUCAGGGCAAGCCCAAGGUCCCAGUGAAAGACUCUGUCUCAAAAAGAACAAAAUGUAUGGCCCCUGAAGAGUAACAGGUAAGGUUGACCUCUGGCCUUCAUACACACACGAAAAUCAUGAGCUUUUAAAAUGUAGGUCAUUCUCAUUAAUACCAAAGCAGAAAGACAACUGAUAAGUCUGUAGAUAUGUAGGUUGAACAUAAUUUCUUUAAAGCAAAGAGAUUAGGAUGCCUAAAGAAAAUAAUAGCAAAAAAAAAAAAAAAAAAAAAAAAAAAAAGCUAAAUACAACAAAACCAGGAAUGGUGUGGGGCAUGGUGUAUGCCACUAUUCCCAGCACAUGGAAGGUAGAAGCAGGAGGAUUAGAAGUUUAAGGCUACCUUGACUAUAUGCAAGUUUGAAGAUAGUUACACAAAACCAUGACUCAAAAAAAAAAAAAAAAGGUAAAGAUAGAUUGUUGGCUCUCACUAUUAUUUAUUAUGCUAAUUCUAUUAUAUAGGCUUGAGAUAUUUUUGAGAAAAAAAAUGUAUGACAAUAAUAAAAAGAAAUCAAGUAUGAAAAAUGAUUUCUGGGGCCAGUAAAAUGGCUCAGCAGGUGGCAGCAGAAGCCUGACAGGCUGAGUCUACCCUUGAAGCCUAGGUGAAAGGCUGGAUGGGGCAGUGUGCAUCUGCAACUACAGCAAGAGGCAGGGACAGGGAAAUCCGGCAGGAAGCCGACGGCCAGCAAGACUUGUAUGCAGCACAGCAGCAGAAACAAGAGACACCGCCUCAGCCAGGUGGUGGGCAAGACCAGACUCCGGGAAGUCAUUCUCUGACUAUCACACAUAUGCAAUGCAACGUGCGUAUGCUCCGUCACAGGCGUCCAUUCCCUCUGCUUCCACCCAAUGUAUGAAUAAAAAAUUUUAAUUCC